rnacentral:rRNA from 1 species
UACGUAGGUGGCAAGCGUUGUCCGGAUUUACUGGGCGUAAAGAGCGCGCAGGCGGUCGUUUAAGUCGAAUGUGAAAGCCCCCGGCUCAACUGGGGAGGGUCAUUCGAUACUGAUCGACUUGAAGGCAGGAGAGAGAAGUGGAAUUCCCGGUGUAGUGGUGAAAUGCGUAGAUAUCGGGAAGAACACCAGUGGCGAAGGCGACUUCUUGGCCUGUUCUUGACGCUGAGGCGCGAAAGCUGGGGGAGCAAACGGG